CCCUGUAUCGAAAAUGAUCAUGGCAUCUUUGUUGUCAGGUCAUUGAUACUACAGGAAGAUCAAGUUGAGAGCCUUUCCCGUGUUUGGAGGAAUUGUUAGUUCCUAUCAGACCCUGAUGCUCUCAGACA